CCAGGGUACCAUCCCUCUCAUGCUUGUGGUAGUGGUUAUAUUUCACUUUUCACUUCUUGUUGCUUUCCAGUGCUAACAGUAAAUAAAUGAAAAUGCCUUUUCUCUGGUCAUUCCCCUAAAUGUGCUCACCGCCUUUGCUUAUUUAGCAUGUAGGCAAGCUGGCACUCUUCCCAGCAUAAAGAGCAUAUAAAUGCUGGCAGCUAUAGGGAUGUGGCACAAACAGCCAAGCUCAUUUGCACAAAUGGACACACAAGCCCUUAGGUCUCUGUCAGAGUUUCUAAACCCCAGAAAGUAUGCCAAACAGCUGUUCUGUAUUGUCCUAACUUUGCUUUCACUGGGCAAUAAAACAAGUAUCGUUUGCCUUUUGUAAUCACUAUGUUUAUAUCAUCUUUGCAGUUGAUACAAACAUUGAAAAUAGCUGGUCACAAUAUACCGGUACUGGAAAAAAAAACAAACAUAAAAAACUAGCAAAACUUACCAAUAUCCUUUCUAUCUGUUCCCACUGUCUCUGGGAAGCACAUUGCAAAGUUAUGCUGACUUUACAUGUUUGCCUUUUUCAGGUCUCUCUCCUUUAUUAGGAGCCUGAGUGAAGGGUAUUUAAGUGUAAGUAGCAUACAGCAAAGAAGGGCCAAUUCUAGUACCAAGACAACUCGAAAAGGAAUUAGAGCUGCACCUUCAGACCUCUCUGUGGUCUGGUUUAAGCUGUCUGUGGGAUUACAUAUCUUCUGGUGAAAUCCUGACUGCUGACAAUAGGUUAGACUCCAUUGAUGCUAAAGCAAAGAGCAGCAGACAAUAGCCAGAGCACUUUCAUUUAAAGCAGUGUGACAGCAUUUUGUUUCCUACUGGCCUUCAGACUGUUCUGGAGAAGAAGACAGAAGGCCAAAAGAUCACCAGAAUAUUUCUGCUUCUAAUGAAAAAUUACAAUUUCUUCUCAAGUAUCAGACAAGUAAUAAGAAAACGCGCAUCACCAAUUCAGUUUAUUUUUUCUCUGGAAGAGCCUGGCAUUUCUAUCUCAGAAACAUAAAAUGUGCAUGCGUGCAUGACUGCAGUGAUACUACAUUUAAUAGAAUCAUAGCGAAUAGAGUUGAAAUAUUGGUGGAUUAAACUGCAUAGUUUCAUUAUCCUUAAGUUUACCUAUCAGAGAAAUAAAAAUUUGAAAAAUAAUAAAUGUCAUAAAAAAGAAGUAAUUUAUGGCAAAAUUUUGCCAUAUAAGUAGCUGGAUUACAGUUGUUUGACACCUGUAAUGAUUCAUGGCCAUAUCUAGUGGAAUACAACCAUGCUGACCCAGUAUAUCAUACCAUCUAGAAAGAAAAAGAGGAUACAUGAAGAUGACACUUGAAUUUAUUUUGAGUGAGGGCUUCUGGAUUCCAGCAAUGGAGAACUAUAUUUACCAUAAGUCUAAACUUGCCCAAGCAUAAUUUAAGGUAUAGUGGUCCACAGCUUGUGCCAAAAAAUAGUUCUGUACAAUAUGUAUACUUCUUGUAGAUAAAAUCAACUCUUUCAUUGACCAGUUUCCUUUAACCACUGUGAUGAACAGAUACUUAUGAACCAACCAUAUAGCAGAGUGACUGAUGUGUGGAUGAUUAAGUCACAAUACCAUAAUAAACUAAUAAAGUUGGUACACAUAAUUGAUUCUAGACCUUGGCCGCAUAUUUGGCAAAACAGUAGCAAAAAACUUCCAACUGAGGCAGCAACAGAAGUGACAGAGAAUUUGAAGUAAACCAGAGCAGAGCAUCAUGACAUAAUAUACUUCAAAGUACCUAAGUUUUUAAAAUCAGCAUAGUUGAAUAUUCUAUUAACCUGACUUCUAGGGUGCAAUGCCAAUGCUUUUUUCUGAGAGAAUAAUUCAAAAUCAUGUUAGAACAUAUAUUUAAUGCAAGUACCUUCACUUUCUUUGAUCCUCUGUUCUUACAUAUAGAGUCCCAGGUUCUUACAGGCGUACACAAUUCUGGAAGGAUAUCAGCAGUUCCAAGCAUUUCUGGCUAGAAUAUUAGUAAAAUUAGGAUAAUACGUCCAUAGAUCAACAACCCACGCUUUUUUGUUUGGUUAUGGGGCUUUUUUUAUUAAAAAAAAAAAAAAAAGAUUAAAAUGGUAAGACUUUUUACAGCUGAAACAACUUUGGGUGUACUGUGAACAAAUCACAUUGUUUUAUGCAAAGACAAGCUGAAAAAUUUA